rnacentral:rRNA from 1 species
UGGGGAACCUGCCCCAUAGUCUGGGAUACCACUUGGAAACAGGUGCUAAUACCGGAUAAGAAAGNGGAUCGCAUGAUCAGCUUUUAAAAGGCGGCGUAAGCUGUCGCUAUGGGAUGGCCCCGCGGUGCAUUAGCUAGUUGGUAAGGUAAAGGCUUACCAAGGCGAUGAUGCAUAGCCGAGUUGAGAGACUGAUCGGCCACAUUGGGACUGAGACACGGCCCAAACUCCUACGGGAGGCAGCAGCG